GUAUAAAUUUCAAAAGGCAAUUGAAGCCUACUAAUGCAUUCUAGAUACAUACAAAUAGGGGUAUAUAAAAACAUAGACUGGAAGUGUAAGGAAAGCUGGCUCGCGCACAGCAGUCCUCAAACCGAGUUUCCUCGAGAGUUUAUCCAGGUCUACAGAAGGUGCACAGGUGGUAAAAAGUUUGGUGUUAGGCGUGCACAUGCUCCUGAGAGCCAGCAACAACCCAACCAAGCUUAUUCAAUAAUGAUCCUUCCGCAGGUUCACCUACGGAAA
rnacentral:misc_RNA from 1 species